GGGGCCGACCGGUUUUGACAGCGAGAUCAAUGACAGGGUAAGCAUGCCGAGCUAUGGAAUUAAUGCUCGUAAAUAUCUGUUCCAACCUUUUAAAUGGCGAAAAUAACUACGCUUUAGCUGCCUAAUUGACUGAAUUAUAGUAAGUCUUGGCCUAGUCCCGCGAGGCGGGAAAGCUGAAUGUCUCUGAAUAGCCCUUGUUGACGGCGAUUCUUUAAGAGGCACCAUCAAAGUCAACAUAGAGUAAUCGCAGCUUCGGCGAUCACUUAAAUCUAAAGAAGCUAAGGGUGUAAUAGGCGGUUUUUGGUCAGUUACACUUCGAAAACCGAACAAAAACUAAGCAUGUAGAAAGCUUUGAAGUUGCUUGUUUGGACGAGGGUUCGAAUCCCUCCGGCUCCACGA
rnacentral:tmRNA from 1 species